rnacentral:lncRNA from 1 species
CAAGAUUAUUUGGAAUGUAAAGUUGAUAAAAAUUUUGACGUUUAGAAAGAAUUAAGUUGUAAAUUAGAGAAUUUAGUUUUAUAAAAACAAUUUUUAGAGGAAUGUUCGCGUGAACAAUCUGUAAUUUUUCAGUUCAAUAGAGACAGCAUUUGAAUAAAGGCACAUUGUAAAGCAGUUGUUUAUAUAAAACAAAAAUUACCUAGUUUAACGAGUGCAGUAAUGUAGAAUUGUUUUCAUUUGGGAAUUUAAGCUUGACUUCAUUAUUCUGAAAGAUUGGGGCUAAGUAAAAACAGUGAAUAAGAAUAUAAUUUAGAAAAUAUGGGUAGAAAUAAUUUUAUUUUGGCUGUGCUGUGAACUACAGUAAACUAUAUCAAAGGUUGAUAUUCCCAAGUAACUAUUUAUAAUGAUCUAUUGUACAAACAGUCGUUCAAGCAGAACAUCUCAUUAUAUUAUGUUAUUUUUCAUAUUUUUGCAUUGUUCAAGAUCCCUUAUUAUUGUUCAUUAUUUUCAUAUCUUGUUAUUUAUGGUCAGAGAUAAAAAUGUCAGAUUUAAAA